rnacentral:rRNA from 1 species
AGAGGAAGUAAAAGUCGUAACAAGGUUUCCGUAGGUGAACCUGCGGAAGGAUCAUUAUUGAAUGAAUGUAGAGUCGGUUGUCGCUGGUCCCUUCGGGGGCAUGUGCACGCCUUCUCUUUCAUCCACACACACCUGUGCACUUGUAGACGGAAGCCCUCGGGCGUCCGUCUGCUCUACAUAAACUCAUAUCUAUAAUUCGAAUGUAAUUGAUGUAACACAUCUUUAAACUAAGUUUCAACAACGGAUCUCUUGGCUCUCGCAUCGAUGAAGAACGCAGCGAAAUGCGAUAAGUAAUGUGAAUUGCAGAAUUCAGUGAAUCAUCGAAUCUUUGAACGCACCUUGCGCUCCUUGGUAUUCCUUGGAGCAUGCCUGUUUGAGUAUCAUGAAAUUAUCAAAAUAAUUCUUUCGUUCGUUCGAUUGAAUUUAUUUUGGACUUGGAGGUCUGCAGAUUCACGUCUGCUCCUCUUAAAUAAAUUAGCUGGAUCUCAGUGAGCUCGGUUCCACUCGGCGUGAUAAGUAUCACUCGCUGAGGACACUGUAAAAGGUGGCCGGGAUUGCGGAUGAACCGCUUCUAAUCGUCUAUUUACUUAGACAACAAUACUUUAUGAUCUGAUCUCAAUCAGGUAGGACUACCCGCUGAACUU